GAUGAACGCUGGCGGCGUGCCUAAUACAUGCAAGUCGAGCGAACGGACGAGAAGCUUGCUUCUCUGAUGUUAGCGGCGGACGGGUGAGUAACACGUGGAUAACCUACCUAUCAGACUGGGAUAACUUCGGGAAACCGGAGCUAAUACCGGAUAAUAUUUUGAACCGCAUGGUUCAAAAGUGAAAGACGGUCUUGCUGUCACUUAUAGAUGGAUCCGCGCUGCAUUAGCUGGUUGGUAAGGUAACGGCUUACCAAGGCAACGAUGCAUAGCCGACCUGAGAGGGUGAUAGGCCACACUGGAACGGAGACACGGUCCAGAGUCCUACGGGAGGCAGCAGUAGGGAAUCUGCCGCAAUGGGCGAAAGCCUGACGGAGCAACGCCGCGUGAGUGAUGAAGGUCUUCGGAGCGUAAAACUCUGUUAUUAGGGAAGAACAGAUGUGUAAGGAACUGUGCACAUCGUGACGGUACCUAAUCAGAAAGCCACGGCUAACUACGUG
rnacentral:rRNA from 1 species